rnacentral:rRNA from 1 species
AUGACGACGUCCAACACCGGGGAUCCUGUCGUGUGGCCAGACUUGAGAAAGCCAGUCAAGAAGGUCAAGCAUACCAUUAGGGACCCACUCGCACGUCUUCAUUCAAAGUUGUCAACAGGUGGCAACUCAGAUGCUCACGAGCCACCAGUCGACAAAACUGCUGCUGCACCACCAACUGUUCACACAAACUCUGAUGCAAGCGGCCGACCAUCUCCGUCUGCUGCAGAUGUGCAGGCUAGAAUAAUGGGCAUCCGUACAUCAGCGAGUGACGAGUCGGUAUCUGCCAGGACAGCUGAAAUAUUGCCCACUCUUCUGGCAAUGAAGGAUGCUGCUGUGAGCCAUGCCACCCCAUCAGCAAGCGUUGAAGUGGAUGCCCCCGAGACCAACCUAAGCAAGGAAGAUUCCCGCUCAUCUGACACUAAUUCCAAGCGCGUGCGUGGUGCCACUCAUGUGUCCACGACAGAAGUGGCUGAGGCGGCAGUUCAUAAUGAUAUGCCAUUUGCAGGUGAGAGUCUUGGCACAACAGCUCCAGCUCCUGGCAGUGCAGAUAUUGCUAAGGCCACUAUUUCGCGUGCUGGUCUUCCACCUAGGCGUCGUAGCCCCCGCAAGCAAUCAACAGACGUAUCCAACACACCAGCUACAGCUAGGAGCAGCAGAGAUGAGUCUGGUUACGUCCCUGUGUCCACACUGUUCCUGCCAACUGCCAAAAGCAAUGUUAUGGAGAAACCAGAAGACCGGGGUACAACUGAUGCAGGUGCCAAGCCGGGCACGAGUGAUGAAGGUGAGCGUUCGGAGCAGACUGCGCCUUUACCCGCAGUGGAAAUCCCUAUCUUAAAUCUGCGCACUUCGAAGCUCCCAAUCAACAUUGGUGUCCCCUACCGCCCCAACAAGAGGAUUGUCAACAAAUCUACGCCCGUCAUCGCUGACAGCACGCCCUGCCCUAUUGACAAGCCUGAUGAUUCUGCAGUGGCCGAUUCAGAUAUGUUUGUGAUCUUUCAUCGUUGGAUUCUGCCCCGCAAGUUGUUCACGGUCCGGCCAGUAGGCAUGAGAGGCACCCAAUGGCCUUCACCCCACCGAGCUUCAGCCUUGGCAUCAGUCAAGAUCAACCACUGGUUCAAGAUCCUAUGCCAGUUGCCUUUGCUUUUCCGGGAGGCAUGCCCGCAAUGA